rnacentral:rRNA from 1 species
GAUGAACGAUGGCGGCGUGCCUAUCACAUGCAAGUCGAGCGAUUUACUUCGGUAAAGAGCGGCGGACGGGUGAGUAACGCGCGGGUAACCUGCCCUGUACACACGGAUAACAUACCGAAAGGUAUGCUAAUACGAGAUAAUAUGCUUUUAUCGCAUGGUAGAAGUAUCAAAGCUUUUGCGGUACAGGAUGGACCCGCGUCUGAUUAGCUAGUUGGUAAGGUAACGGCUUACCAAGGCGACGAUCAGUAGCCGACCUGAGAGGGUGAUCGGCCACAUUGGAACUGAGACACGGUCCAAACUCCUACGGGAGGCAGCAGUGGGGAAUAUUGCACAAUGGGCGAAAGCCUGAUGCAGCAACGCCGCGUGAGCGAUGAAGGCCUUCGGGUCGUAAAGCUCUGUCCUCAAGGAAGAUAAUGACGGUACUUGAGGAGGAAGCCCCGGCUAACUACGUGCCAGCCGCCGCAGUAACAC